AUUAUGGUGGUCGCCACUAGGUAUCAACUAAACGAACAAUUACGGAUUCAAUUUAAUUAAUGUGACAGUAGGCUAUUAAAUUAAAUCAAAUACCCGGCCGUUGAUAUUCAAUUAAUAAAAUACCCGUAAACAAUUAAUUCAGGAAACGCACGAAUAGCAAUAAAGUGGAAGAAAUAAUGAAGAUUUGAUUAGAUCUCACAGAUAUUAUGGACCGCGCCCUCGCGUCAACCUUUGGGUAGAGGAGAAAAUUAGCCGCUCCUCAUCGUGUCAAUCCCGCGUGAUUUAAUUGAAUUCAUUCAAUUAUUUGCCGAAGAAUUGGGGAAGGGGAAGUAAUUGCAAUAACAACAGAGAAGGCCCUGCCUUCGUUUUUGCUUCAGAGUCGCAAUUACAAAGCAAAAAGCUACGAAGGAACUGUCCAGCGGAAAAGUUGAAAGUCAAAAGAGAAAGAGACGUCUAGCGCCUGGGGAAAGAAAAACUAAAGCUACUGUUUUGAUUCGAUGUAAAUCUCGCUAUCUAAUUUGCUGCCGAAGAAGAAACAAAAGCGAAAGAAGGCGUCUAACAAAGAGUAGCAAAAGAAAACUAAAGCUGAGGUCUUCCCCCGAUGAAUGAUACGUGAAUCUGGCUCUGCUUUUCUAUUUGUAGCGCCGCCAGGAGCUAUCAAACGUCUGACCCAAUUCAUCUAAUAAAAGCUAUCCCCUUUGGAGUUUUGAUCCCAUGCGCUUGGUCCACAUGGACCACCUUUUGCUUCCUGAUAUUUCACGCGGGUCCGUCCUUUUUAUGUACAUCCUUCGUUCUCUGGCGUGGUCACGCCAUGAAAUAGAGAGUCUUCUGGAAUUUUGCCUCGUGAAAGCCCUUUUUACCCCAAUCACCUAUAAUUCAUAGAAAUAUGAAAUAUGAGUUAACCCUCAAUACUUAGCACAGUAAAUACCUAAAAUUAGGACAAAAUAACGGUGCAAAAUGUGCCAAAUAACCGCUCUAUCAGUAACAAUAAAAAGAGAAGGGAAAAAUGCUCCUUAGCCGACAAAUUAGUUUUACAGAAAUAGGUAGAUUGGACUAAAACUCAUUAGCUUUUAUUAAAAAGAUUUUUAAUUAAAAAAUUAAAACACUUUGACUUCAAAAUCAACUCUGUCUGGCCCCCCAGAAAAAUUCAAACUUCGUCCAUCGUCGUUAUCAAAUGCAAAUGCAAAAGAAUUUUUUGGAUAAAAAGGCUAAGUUAAUCCAAUCAAUUGAUAACGACAACUUACAUUAUCAAAUGCAAAUGCAACUUCCUUCAGAUAACCAUUGUCGUUAUUUUCAACUAUCAAGUAAUUAGCUGGAGUGCUAGACACUAAUUUUCUUUCGGCGUCAUUUUGAAGAUGACGUUGAAGCUAUCUGCUCUGUGCUUGUUAAGCAAGAACCAGUUACAAGUCCUUCGUCGAAUUAAUGGGAAAAUAGAAAGGCUAUGUUAAUUCAAGCCAGAAAAAAAAGAAAAAAAAA
rnacentral:lncRNA from 1 species